UAGGGAAUCUGCAAUGGGGGGAACCCUGACCGAGCAACGCCGCGUGAGUGAAGAAGGUUUUCGGAUCGUAAAGCUCUGUUGUUAAGGAAGAACGAGUGUGAGAAUGGAAAGUUCAUACUGUGACGGUACUUAACCAGAAAGGGACGGCUAACUACGUGCCAGCAGCCGCGGUAAUACGUAGGUCCCGAGCGUUGUCCGGAUUUAUUGGGCGUAAAGCGAGCGCAGGCGGUUAGAUAAGUCUGAAGUUAAAGGCAGUGGCUCAACCAUUGUAGGCUUUGGAAACUGUUUAACUUGAGUGCAGAAGGGGAGAGUGGAAUUCCAUGUGUAGCGGUGAAAUGCGUAGAUAUAUGGAGGAACACCGGUGGCGAAAGCGGCUCUCUGGUCUGUAACUGACGCUGAGGCUCGAAAGCGUGGGGAGCGAACAGGAUUAGAUACCCUGGUAGUCCACGCCGUACGAUGAGUGCUAGGUGUUAGGUCCUUUCCGGGACUUAGUGCCGCAGCUAACGCAUUAAGCACUCCGCCUGGGGAGUACGACCGCAAGGUU
rnacentral:rRNA from 1 species